rnacentral:misc_RNA from 1 species
AAGACUUACAAGGCUGUCCCAAACCAGCACAACACAACAUAGGGUGUAAUACACAAUGGUCAUCAUCUUAUCAAUACAAAUAAGUUGAUUGCUUUGGAAAAAACGGAUAAGAGGUUGUAAAUGCUACGUUACGUACUAAAGCAAACAAUAAAUGAUGGAUGGAGAGUUCAUUUUAUUUAUUCAUUUAGCAACAAUUAAGAGUAAAAUUUAAAUUCCAAACAUAGAAGAUACAUAUCUCUGAGGAAAGCGUUAUAAAGCUUCACAAGUUAACAAUUUAUACUAUUAUCAAGUUGAUUUUUUAUUAUUA